ensembl:lncRNA
GUCAUUAAUAAAGAUAUUGAAUAGAAUAGGCCCCUACACUGACCCCUGGGGAGCACCACUCAUGACCAGCUGCCGGUUGGAUCUAACUCUAUUCACCACCAUGCUCUAAGUCCACCUAUCCAGCCAGUUCUUCACUCAGCAAAGGAUGUUCCUGUCCAAGCUUUUCCAGGCUGCCAGCUUUUCUAGGAGAAUGCUGUGGCAGAAAGUGUCAAAGGCCUUGCUGAAGGCUAGGAAGACUACAUCAACAGCCUUUCCCUCAUCCAUCAGGUGCUGCCAGGGAUCUAAGUUGUGACGUGGCUCCACAUCUGUGUGCUGAAUGGACUUUAAGUGUAAGCUGAAACCUUGUCUCUAGUCCUGUCUCCUGUUCUGUCGCCUUCUACUCUUGCCUCAAGCUCGUGCAUGGUUCCUGAACCUGGCUUGUCCAUUACCUGGGACUGUUGGUGCAUCCUCUUACAGGUACCUGGCUCCUUAUCAGCCUUGCAAGACCUGGCUGCCAUGUGCACCUGCACCUGGGGACAGUUGGCUUUGCUGCUCCCCAACAGGGAAACUGUGCUGAGGACAUCCAGUACUUUACAGGAAGCAUAGAUUUCGUGUCUUCCUCACUCAUUUCCCCACAUCAGGAAUGAGGCUGUGAGGGCUUCGUUGAGAGGUUAAUAUUCAAGGAUGCUCAAGGAUUCCACAAAACUUUUCUUCUGAAGUCACAGGGAUUCUUUAACAUUUUUUCUCCUCUUUCUUUCCUUCCUUUCCCUAUAGCCCUGUACUUCCUUAUCAGAACUCUUUGUGUCAUUAUCCUUUGCCAAAACAGUCAUAUCAUUAAUUUACUUGAUAAGAAAAAGACUGUAUUUGAGUAUUUAAACAAAAAUCUGAAAGUUUAUGCAUCCACUUGUGCCUGUAUAUAUAUCUAUCCAAGAAAUAUGUACAGAACCUAAGUAGUUACACUUCCUGCAUUCAUUCUGAAGAGGAAACACGCAUAUGAUUGCACACAAUUCUCUGUGCCAAUACUUCACUUUUAUUACUUUGAGUUAUAGGAUAUACGUUUAGAUUUAUGAUAUGGAAUUGCAGGAUGUUCAUAGGCCAAUCUGUGGACUCAGCAAGUGUGGUACACAGCAGAUUUGUUAAAGAUUAUAUAUCCAACACCACAGGUAAAACAGAAGCUGCACCCUGAAGCUGCUGAAGGUAUGGGUGUGUGAGUGAUAAGACGGUCUUGAGAGGAAGCACAGUGAGCUUUUAUUGUAAUUCCAGUUGAUGAAAAAACUGAAAACAAAGGCAGUUUUAAAAUACAUGAAUUGUCAGCCCUAAUCACUGAACAGGGGUAUUUCUGAGUUCGGAACCAGUAAAGGCCUGUAUUCCCUGAGGGCUGACAGUUAAAAAAGAUAGUUUUAAAAGCUUGAAGAUUUAUUAUCAUAAGACACAAGGCUGCACAACGAACACCUUACUGAGGAUGCUUCACUGAUUAUAAAGAAAAGUACAGUACUAUUUGAUGUGAUAACGUCACGGGUUCUUUGUUAGAGGAAGGAGGUCCUAAUAGAAACCAACCAUGUUACUAACAUAGACUUUAUUUUAUCAUCCAUUUGUGGUCAGUGAAAGUAUAACAGUGCUUAAAGACUGCAAAAAUGCAUCCUACCUGUUUGGCAGUAAUGUCUGCAUCAAGCUCUUGAGGACUAUUAAGAAUUCAAACAUAUCUCAUUGAUUCUAUCUGUCCACCCUUACCACUACACUGCCUAUCAUAUAGCAUAUUCUGGUGCUAGGUUAUCUGAACAACAAGCUGUUACAUUUAGGGACAUAACAGCUACUGCCUAGGUACAAAUUCCAAGAAAUACACAGUGCUCUUACCUUUUACUGGUAUAAAAGUGGGGGAAAAAAGAGGUGGUAGUUCGGUUGUCACACCAUAAAUUCUGUAUACACACAUGCACUGUUGAGAAGUGAUUUUCUCCCCACUAGUUUCAGGUGGGAACUGCCUAUGAGAGAAUUAUGUUGUAUUGCUACUUUAAAUGAAGAA